AUCAACCAGUUUCAAAAAGGUAUAAAAUGUAAAUGUUAAAUGAAUAUAAGCUUAAAGGACAACAGGUUAAUCCAGGACGGUAAUGAUGAUGUGAUGAGUGUAAAAGCCAAACAU